rnacentral:rRNA from 1 species
UACGAAGGGGGCUAGCGUUGUUCGGAAUCACUGGGCGUAAAGCGCACGUAGGCGGAUCUUUAAGUCAGGGGUGAAAUCCCGAGGCUCAACCUCGGAACUGCCUUUGAUACUGGGGAUCUCGAGUCCGGGAGAGGUGAGUGGAACUGCGAGUGUAGAGGUGAAAUUCGUAGAUAUUCGCAAGAACACCAGUGGCGAAGGCGGACUCACUGGCCCGGAACUGACGCUGAGGUGCGGAAAGCGUGGGGAGCAAACAGGG